GGAAGAACAAGUGCAAUUCCAAAUGUGAAACCAAAACUUCCUCCCUUGCUAGAGUCAUCUCCAUCAACUCAGAUAUUCACAUGCUCAUGUAAACAACCUACCCCUUAAUUUGCUGGCCACUAAAAUGGGAAGAUUUAUACCCCAUUGCUGAGAGCAUCAAACGCUAUAUCAAUGUCAUGCAGGUUGUUUGGAGCAGAUCUGAAUAGGGAUUUGUAAAAGUCAACAGUGAUGGGAGUGCACUGAAAAAUUCAGGAAGUAUAGGGGUAGGGGAAAUAAUAAAGAGUUG
rnacentral:lncRNA from 1 species